rnacentral:lncRNA from 1 species
GCACUGGGAAUACUGGGAGCACUGGGAAUAACAGCAACACAGGGAACAACAGAAUCACUGGGGGUACUGGGAGGCACUGGGAGCACUGGGAAUACUGGGAGCACUGGGAAUAACAGCAACACAGGGAACAACAGAAUCACUGGGGGUACUGGGAGGCACUGGGAGCACUGGGAAUACUGGGAGCACUGGGAAUAACAGCAACACAGGGAACAACAGAAUCACUGGGAGUACUGGGAGGUGCUGGGAGCACUGGGAAUACUGGGAGCACUGAGGAUAAUGCUAACACUGGGGAUAAUGGGAGCACUGGAGGUACUGGGAGGCACUGGGAAUACUGGGAGCACUGGGAAUAACAGGAAUGCUGGCGAUAACACGAGCACUGGAGCUACUGGGAGCUACUGGGAGGUACUGGGAACACUGGGAGCACUGGGAAUAACAGCAACACAGGGAACAACAGAAUCACUGGGAGUACUGGGAGGCACUGGGAGCACUGGGAACACUGGGAACACUGGGACUAACAGGGAGCAACACAAGCACUGGGGGUACUGGGAGCACUGGGAAUACUGGGAACACUGGGAACACUAAGAAUAACAGCAAUGCUGGCGAUACCACGAGCACUGGCGCUACUGGGAGCUACUGGGAGCUACUGGGAGCACUGGAUUCACCGGGGGGGGGGGCUCUUUUUCCCCUCUAACCCCCCCUGUCCCCCCCCCAGCUGAGCUACGCCGAGGCCCUGCGCCGCCCGGCGCCCGAGCUGGCCACCAUCCACGUCUCGCUGGCCACCACCUUCGGCGACCUGCGGCAGCCGGCGCGCGCCGAGCACCACUACCGCCAGGAGCUGGCACUGCACCGCGGAGACCCCCUGGAGGCCAGCGGGGACCCCCCAAAAAUGGGCAGGGGGGGGGGUCCUGGGGGUCCCGGGGGGUCCCGGGGGUCCCGGACACCCAUGGGUGCCCCCACCCCGGCAGGAGGGGAGGACGUGGCUCAGCAUCGCCGUGGCCAAGGAGGAAGCCGGCGAGCCCGGUGCCGCGGUGGAGCAGUGCCUGGCCACGGCGCUGGAGCGGGCAGAGGAGGCCGGGGAGCUGCGGCUGCAGGGGGGGUCCCGGGGGUCCCGGACACCCAUGGGUGCCCCCACCCCGGCAGGAGGGGAGGACGUGGCUCAGCAUCGCCGUGGCCAAGGAGGAAGCCGGCGAGCCCGGUGCCGCGGUGGAGCAGUGCCUGGCCACGGCGCUGGAGCGGGCAGAGGAGGCCGGGGAGCUGCGGCUGCAGCGCCAGGUCCUGCGGCACCUCCACGCCGUGCAGCAGCGUGCCGGCAGUGCCGAGGCUGCCGCCACCCUGUCGAAGCUGCGGGGGCUGCCAGGGGGCGAGGAGGAGGAGGAGGAGGAGGAGGAGGAGGAAGAGCGGGAGGACGGCGAGGACGAGGAGGGGGAGAGCAGCGAGCUGGAGCUGUCGGAGAGCGGUGAGGGGGGGACGGGGGUCCCUGGGGGGGACAGGAUCCCGAAAUGGGG